UGGGGUAUAUUGGACAAUGGGCGCAAGCCUGAUCCAGCCAUGCCGCGUGAGUGAUGAAGGCCCUAGGGUUGUAAAGCUCUUUCACCGGUGAAGAUAAUGACGGUAACCGGAGAAGAAGCUCCGGCUAACUUCGUGCCAGCAGCCGCGGUAAUACGAAGGGGGCUAGCGUUGUUCGGAUUUACUGGGCGUAAAGCGCACGUAGGCGGACUAUUAAGUCAGGGGUGAAAUCCCGGGGCUCAACCCCGGAACUGCCUUUGAUACUGGUAGUCUUGAGUUCGAGAGAGGUGAGUGGAAUUCCGGGUGUAGAGGUGAAAUUCGUAGAUAUUCGGAGGAACACCAGUGGCGAAGGCGGCUCACUGGCUCGAUACUGACGCUAAGGUGCGAAAGCGUGGGGAGCAAACAGG
rnacentral:rRNA from 1 species